AGUCUCAUGGUCUAGUGGUAUGACGUUCGCCUCACAAUUCAUUUCAUAUGGAUUGAGUGCGCGACAGGUCCCGGGUUCGAUCCCCGGUGAGACUA